rnacentral:rRNA from 1 species
UAUAUGAAGGUCAGGCUGAAGACCUUACCCGAUUAGCUGAGAGGUGGUGCAUGGCCGUCGUCAGUUCGUACUGUGAAGCAUCCUGUUAAGUCAGGCAACGAGCGAGACCCACGUCCACAGUUGCCAGCAUACCCUCCGGGGUGAUGGGUACACUGUGGAGACCGCCGCUGCUAAAGCGGAGGAAGGAGUGGGCAACGGUAGGUCAGUAUGCCCCGAAUCUCCCGGGCUACACGCGGGCUACAAUGGUUGGUACAAUGGGCAUCUACCCCGAAAGGGGAAGGAAAUCUCUUAAAGCCAAUCGUAGUUCGGAUUGAGGGCUGCAACUCGCCCUCAUGAAGCUGGAAUCCGUAGUAAUCGCGUUUCAACAGAACGCGGUGAAUACGUCCCUGCUCCUU